AUUACCGCGGCUGCUGGCACGUAGUUAGCCGGUGCUUCUUCUGCGGGUACCGUCAUCCAGCCAGACUAUUCGCCUAACCGAUUUCUUCCCCGCCGAAAGGGCUUUACAACCCGAAGGCCUUCUUCACCCACGCGGCAUUGCUGGAUCAGGCUUGCGCCCAUUGUCCAAGAUUCCCCACUGCUGCCUCCCGUAGG
rnacentral:rRNA from 1 species